GACGUAGGGCGCGAGCGUUGUCCGGAUUUAUUGGGCGUAAAGAGCUCGUAGGCGGCUUGUCGCGUCGACCGUGAAACCUCACAGCUCAACUGUGAGCCUGCGGUCGAUACGGGCAGGCUCGAGUUCGGUAGGGGAGACUGGAAUUCCUGGUGUAGCGGUGAAAUGCGCAGAUAUCAGGAGGAACACCGGUGGCGAAGGCGGGUCUCUGGGCCGAUACUGACGCUGAGGAGCGAAAGCGUGGGGAGCGAACAGG
rnacentral:rRNA from 1 species